AAUAGAUACCCCGGUAGUCCACGCCGUAAACGAUGGAUACUAGCUGUUCGGUCGCAAGAUUGAGUGGCUAAGCGAAAGUGAUAAGUAUCCCACCUGGGGAGUACGAACGCAAGUUUGAAACUCAAAGGAAUUGACGGGGGCCCGCACAAGCGGUGGAGCAUGUGGUUUAAUUCGAUGAUACGCGAGGAACCUUACCAAGGCUUAAAUGUAUAUUGACAGGACUGGAAACAGUUUUUUCUUCGGACAAUUUACAAGGUGCUGCAUGGUUGUCGUCAGCUCGUGCCGUGAGGUGUCAGGUUAAGUCCUAUAACGAGCGCAACCCCUGUUGUUAGUUGCCAGCGAGUCAAGUCGGGAACUCUAACAAGACUGCCAGUGUAAACUGUGAGGAAGGUGGGGAUGACGUCAAAUCAUCACGGCCCUUACGGCCUUGGGCUACACACGUGCUACAAUGGCCGGUACAGAGAGCAGCCACUGCGCGAGCAGGAGCGAAUCUAUAAAACCGGUCACAGUUCGGAUCGGAGUCUGCAACUCGACUCCG
rnacentral:rRNA from 1 species